AAUAGGUAGUCAAUGCAGCGGCAGUCAUUUUGAGCUGUUCCAUUCUCUUUUUUUAAAAAAAAAAUCUUUAAAUUGUGAGAAUGCCAGUAAAUCACCUACUCGUAUCACUUAUUUUUCUACUUACCUUCAAAACAGAGUCCUUUGCUGAAAUCCAGCCCCUGAAUCUGUCUGUGCGUGCAGGGGACCGUUUUGAGUUUGUUCAGAGAGAAGAGCUUCCACAGUUUUUACAGUUAAGAUGGAUGAAAACAACUUUUUCCAGAAAUCACUCAGAAACCAUUGUGACAUACUACAAUAAGACUAAAGACACUGACCCUGCCAGUUCUUACAAGGACAGAGUGGUGUUCAAUACUACAAAUUUCUCUCUAACACUGAUGGAAAUGCAGAAGACAGACAGCGGACUUUACUGCACAACAACAAUUGGGAAAAAAACCAUAAAUGUUUGUCAGUACAAUGUAUCUGUUGUUGAUAACCACGGAUCACCCACUACUAUUUUUCUUCCGUGGAUAUUACUUACCUCUACACUAAGUACAAUAAUGUUCUAAAUUGUAAUAUGAAUAAAGAUUUAAUUAUUUUUUUUUUUUAAGAAUUACUAAUAGCAAUUAUUUCAAAAGGAAAUGCUAUGACAGUGAGAUUAGUAUGAUUAAACAAGGAUAAUGAAUAACAAAACAAUACAACAAAACAUAGCUGCCUACUUUUAUUUUGUCAACACAUGCUCAUUACAAUAUCAAUUGCUUAUUUGUUGAUGUAGAUUUACCAAGUCUGUUUACAUUCCAUAGACAUAUGUCUACCAAAAUUUGUAAUAUACAAAAUAUACAGUAGGCUAUAUUAAAAAAACAAGUUUCAACAUUCCAAGAGCAUAUGAAGGAGGAGACAAUGUAAUGUACCAUGUAAUGUAUGCCCAUCUGAAAGAUUAUGCUCUAUAAACAUUAAAAAAGAAGAAAAAAAAAACAUUUGGAGUUUCCAGCUGAUACCAAUUCAUAAAUAUGUAUAUAUCUGCCACAGCACACUUUUUGGCGGGGUUUUUCUCUACAGUGAGUGUUGAUAUAGCAAUGAGUUGUCAUACCAGUGGGGGUGGAAUCUUUUAAAGUUCCAAUUGCGUGAUAGUGAUGUGAAGUAGACUUAACAGGGUAUUUCAAUAUGCAGUGAGUGCCUAUGUUCAGUCCACUUUCCCACCUAUCUAAAUGACACUGUCUAGCGAAUAAGUGAACAACAAUGAUAGGAAGUACGGAGGGAAACUUCAAAGAAGCAUGAGAGAAGUUUUUCUAAAAAAAAUGCAGCAAAAAUAAACUUUAAUGUUUCAUUA